GUAGGGAAUAUUGGUCAAUGGGUGAGAGCCUGAACCAGCCAUGCCGCGUGCAGGAAGAAGGCCUUCUGGGUUGUAAACUGCUUUUGCCAGGGGAUAAAAAUACCUUGCGAGGUAAAUUGAAGGUACCUGGUGAAUAAGCCACGGCUAACUACGUGCCAGCAGCCGCGGUAAUACGUAGGUGGCAAGCGUUGUCCGGAUUUAUUGGGUUUAAAGGGUGCGUAGGCGGCCCUGUAAGUCAGUGCUGAAAUAUCCCAGCUUAACUGGGAGGGUGGCAUUGAUACUGCGGGGCUAGAGUACAGAUGAGGUAGGCGGAAUUGACGGUGUAGCGGUGAAAUGCUUAGAUAUCGUCAAGAACACCUAUAGCGAAGGCAGCUUACUAGGCUGUAACUGACGCUGAGGCACGAAAGUGUGGGGAUCAAACAGGAUUAGAUACCCUAGUAGUCC
rnacentral:rRNA from 1 species